GCAGUGGGUUAAGGAUCUGGAAGUUGCUGCGGUUGUGGCAUAGGUCACAGCUGCAGAUUUGAUCCCUGGCCUGGGAACUUCUAUAUACUGUUGGUGUGGCCAAAAAAAAAAAAAAAAAAAGUCUAUCGCAUGGCGUAUUGCCUCCACUUCUCAUCCAAAGCAGACCUUUGACUGAGGUUGUGUCAAAAUCUGUUCCACAUUCCAUCAGUGGGGUUUAGAGAUGAUCUCUUUAGGAGCAGCUCUUUAGAACAACAUCAUUUGCAUAAAUGUUCAUUUGACACUCCUCUACAUUUUGUCAUUAUUAAAAAUUUUGAAAAGGUAGCUUUCUAUAAUGGAGGUAGAGGCAUUUUUAUUUCUGUGUGGUGGGUUAGAUCAGUGGUUCUCAACCAGGGGUCAGCUUACCCUCUCAGGGAACAUCUGCCAAAAUCUGGAGACACUUUUGCUUGUCUACAUCUAGGGGUUGCUACCGGCAUUUAGUGAAUAGAGGCAAGAGAUUCUCCAAAGCAUCUUUACAGUGCACAACCCUCCCUCCUAACAGAAAAUUGUCCUGUCCAAAAUGUCAGUAGCACCAAGAAACAUGGGUUAAAUUAAAUUGUCUAAAAUCUUUUCCAUAUUUCUAAGCUAAGACCCUUUAAAAAUAUUUCAGUUACCAAAGGGGACAGGUAAUAUUUCAGUACCAAAGGGGAUAGGUGGGAGGGAUGGACUGGGGGGUUGGGAUUGGCAUAUGCACACUGAGGUAUAUGGAAUGACUGGCCAAUGGGGACAUGUUAUGCAGCACAGGGAACUCUACCCAAUAUUUUGUGAUCAUCUAUAAUUUGAAAGAGAAUGGAUGAAAAUAAUUUGAAAGAGAAUGGAUGCGUGUGUAACUGAGUCACUGUUGUGUAGCAGAAAUUAUCACAACCCUGCAAAUCAACUAUACUUCAAUAAAACUUAAAAAAAAGAAAUUCUCUCUUUCAGCACAAGUGGAGUUAAUGUGGUGUUGAAUUUUGUGGUUUUGCUCAACUCCCAAGUCUGAGAUGAUCAAUGCCUGGAAUUCUUUCAUUGCUGUCAGUUAUUGACUUUCUCUCAGUAUCUGGUAUCCAAGCUCCUGUUGCUGGGGGAUACAUGCAGGAUGGUGUGGGAGAUGAAAGAGAGCUUGCACCAUCUCCUACCUCCCUGAAACGUGCCUUUAACUAGAUAGAGAAAAAUUAUAAGAUCAAUUUACCACCAGGCCAAUGAAGAGAUGUGGGAGUCAGGGAUAGAUGAUCUUGCUGAUAAGAAUUAGAAAUAUGACUUGAAUAUUUUUGAGGAAGUAAUUUAUUUAUGUGGUGGAUAAAUUCCUCUCAAGUCAUUUAAAAAUAUGAUUGUUACAUUCCUAAGAAGAAGAACCCCCCCUUUACCUGCCAAACAUUCUGGAUGUUUCCCCUUGUAUUCCAUCUUCAGGCUUCAGUACACUAAGUGAAAUAUGAUUGCAUGUAUGGUGAUUUUGUGUCAGACUGCAGUCUGAUUUCCCAAACCUUGCCUACAUUCAUGCAUUUAAUUAACAAAUAAAUUUUUAAAAUCAUGUUUUUUUAAUGCCUGAUACACUUUACCACUGUCUUAGCUCCUGAGCAGUGCACAUGUGAACAAAAUAUGGGUUUGCAUAUGAAAAACUGAUGAAGUUUUGUGGAAAAGGAAGAUAUUUAAGCAGAUUUUAUAAUUAAUCGGGCCAGGGCUAUGCAAGGAGAAAUGUAAACUGCUCUGGGAACACACCUACAGCAGAUUAUGCUUAGGGAAUUGAGAAGAAUUUUAUGCACAAAGUAGUAAGUGUGUUGCAUGUUGAAGGAAGAGUAGGAGUUUCUGGGGAGAGAAGUGAUAGUCAGAGGCAAGAAGAUAUUAAAAAGCAUUGGAGUCCCCACUGUGUUUCAGUAGGUUAAGAAUCUGCUCAGGUUGCUGUGGAGGCAUAGGUUCCAUCUCCGCUUGGUGCCAUGGGUUGAAAGGGUCCAGCACAGCUGUAGGUCACAGCUGUGGCUCAGAUUCAGUCCCUGGCCCAGGAACUUCGAUAUGCUGUGGGUGCAGCCAAAAUAAAAAACUAUAUAUAUUCAGAAAAAGGAUAUUAAAAAGUAUGGAUUGAUGAGUUGUGGCAGGAAUAUGAUGUGAAUAGGGAUGUAUGGCAUGAAACGAAGCUGGCUUUUAUCUCCCCAAAUAUGGUGAGCCCUUUGAGGGAAGGAGAUCUGUCCUAUUCUUCUUUGUAUUCCUGGUGCAAAUAGCACCUCACAGCAACAGCAUCAGCAUCAACAUCAACACGGCAAGAGAUUGUGGAUUGCGUGCUCCAUCUCUAGGCAGAGAAAUGAGAUGGUUAGAGCUGGAGGUACUGGGAGAGGGUACCCAGGGAUAGAAGUAGGGGGUCUGGUCACAAGGGAAUUGUGAUUGGGGAAAGUUGUUAUAAGGACCAAGGCAGAAGAACAGAAUGGGAGAGGAGGGGUUCUAGAGAUACUUGGUAGGUAAAUCUAAUAGACCUUGGUGAACAAAUGAAAUUGAAGAAUGUUGUAAGGGACAGUUGGGUGAGCUGUCAUCAUUCUACAGUGUAUGCAGAGAACCCAUAGAAAAUCUAGUUUUAAUAAUGUCAUAUUUGAGGAGCACUUUGGAUUACCAUGGAUAAACAAUGCUCUGGUUGAGAAAUACUGGUCUAAAGAUUUGCUACACAUGGAGAUUGUCUCCCAUGCUUGGUCUUCAGGGACCUUGGCUAUUGGCUUCUGACCCAUCAUGUUUGCCUUCGGCAUCUCUUAUGACCUUCCAGGAUGGGUCUUGGCUUCCCCAUCGCUUUGCCUUCUGGCCCAGUACUCCCAACUUUCAUCAGAGACUCAGAUAGUUGCCUGAUCUCUAGAUUCUGGUGACAGUCUACCUACUUGCUCUUCUGGCUCUCACCAAAUGCACUGACGUAGCACUUCACACACAAGAAGAGGCAUGUGAAUCUUUUCAUCACUUUGAUGAUAAAGUUGGGUUUCCUUUUACAUUCCAAUGACUGCAAGAUUGUACAUUUUUAUUGAUAUCCACAGGGGCUGGUUCCAGGAUUCCCGUCCUUGAAUUCCAAAAUCUGUGGAUGAUCAAGUGCCUCAUAUAAAUGACAGUGGUACAGUCGCCCUCUGUCUCUGCAGAUUUUCCUCUGUAGACAUGGAGGGCUGACUGUAUUUUAACACAACGUACCUAAUCUGUUCCCCUCCUUAAUAGGAUAUACAAACAUCUAUUAACAUGUCCAUUUCUACCAAGUUAUGUUUUGAGAACCAUUCUUGUUAUUAACACUGAUCUAGGAUAUUUCAGGGAUAUUAAAUUAGCAUGCACAACAAAAAGAAACCAAACAACAAAUUAUACAUACACCACACUUGUAAGAUUUACAUUUCUGAGUCUCUCGAGAAGUAGAGCACAGCCUCUCUGAAUGUCUUCACAUUUUUUAUGUGUGAUGGUGCCUAGAUUUUCUCAACAUUUAUUCUAAAAGUAACAUACUUAGUGAAUUCCCUAAAUUCAGGGUGAUUCUGAUUUUGUUUGCAGAACAGCUCCUCCUUCAGCAUGACUUAGUAUAACAGAUUGCAUUUGAGGCCUGCUAUACUGUUUAAAAUUAGGAAGUCUCAUGUAGCAUAGUGCCAAAUGAAUUGCAUUAUCAGGAAAUUGUACAGACCAAUGAAAUCUGACUUCUCAGUCUGCCAUUUUCUCGAGGCAAGAUACUAACUUCUUUUUAGCCCAGUUUAUAAAAUUAUCAUCCAAAGGUUGCUUGAGUAUACAGUGAAGGAGUGUAUUGAAAGUAUCAGCAGGUAGGUCCUUCAACAGAAGUUAGAGGCUCUGGCUCAAGGUCUGGCUCAUGUUCAAGGAACACUAAACCACAGAAUUGCCCUCAUCCCCUGUCAAUGCAUAAAAAAUUUAAACUAGUCAGUCCAUCUGGCACAAUGUGGUCAUGAACAUACAUAUAUUUUCCAGUUUUAGUCUUUUUACACAUGGAAAUUGGGUAGACAUUGAACCCAGGGACUCAGAGCUAAUAAAAAGCAGUCCAGUCCAUGGCUUACAAGGUGGAGCUGGGGCCAGGUUGUGAGGAAGGGGUAAUGAAAAGGUAGACAUAUUCAAACAUAUUCUAUCGACUGCUAAUCAGCUUCUACACAGAACCUGGUUCUUUGCAUUUGCUCUUUAUGACCACCCUGCAAGGAGAUAUUACCCAUUUAAUUUAUAGAUGAAGUAACACCAGCUUCAAGAAGUUAAGUAACUUUCUAAGAUCACAUGGCCUGUAAGGGUGGAUAACUGGGUUUGAUUUCAAAUCUUGUGCUUUCCAAUGCUCUGUGCUACCUCCUGGGGACUGGAAAUGAACCCAUUUGUAGAGACCAAAAAACGUGGGAGUUUUGAUAUCUCUGCUCCCAGCAGGUAGGCUGUCUAUAUUGACUAUAUGGAAAGAAAUUAGGAUAGAGUCAGCCUCAAUCUAAAUCUUCUGGAAGGCUCUACCUCUCAUCCCUGGAGUCCUGCUCAGUCACUGUCAUCAUUGUCUCCAUGGAAACUGACCUGCUCUUGGCCAAGGAAAGGUCUGGGCUUUAUAACAUAGGUCAGUAGUACUCAGGGAACAAGGCAGGGACAUUACACAGCUGGGUUGCUGAUUCUUAGCUCUAACAUUUGGUUUAUAAUUACUAGAGGGUUUUUUUUUUUUUUAAUGACAAUUCUAGGCUGGUCUGGUUAGUGUUUACCUAUUGCCUCAUUUUAAGAAGGUAUUUGGGCAGUUUGGGGAAUAUAAUAAUAGCAAUCACAGCUAAAUGAUUAAGUGGCUAUAAUGGGAAGAUAAAGGUGGGAUUAAGUCAAUACACAAAAUGCAUACCUCAGAGACUCAGCAUUGAAUACCAUGAAUGUCGACAUAGAAAGAUGCCAGGGAGCCUGUUGAUGAGAUUCCUGGGCUUAACGUGGUACUAGAUGAGGCUCUGACCUGGAUAGUGUACCUGAUAAUGAUAUCCUUAGAACAGGUCUGGUGGUAUGUGGUCUGGAUGUUCAAAUAUGAAGAAUUAGCCAGGUCAUCACUUCUAAAUGGCUCAGCAGGGGAGGAUGUGUUGAAGGAGAGUAACAACUAAGCAAGCCUAGAACAUUGUGGGGCAGUCAUCGGCUGCAUUGUUGUCUCAGGACUCUGGAUUAGAAGCAAACUGUCCUGCUGUCCCAAAGCAUGGCACUGUAGGCAUGAACCAGGGUCCAUGGUCCCUUCCAUAGGGAGGAAGUCUACCCUAGUUCUUAGGAACCCAAAUUAUAAAUGAAGUAAGACAGGUUAAACCUAAUUGAUAGAUGAAUCACUUGGUAAGUUGUUUAAUUGCGUCAUCUCAAAGACAGAGAGGUUUUCUACAUUAAACUUUCAAGUACUGUAUGAACACGUUUAGCAUGAAAACAGUUCUAGUUGCAAUUUUUAACACAAGCUCAUGCUGGAAAGUGUAGAUAUGUUUCCAGACAUCUACUAUCCAAGAGUUUGCUCCAUCAACACUCGCCAGAAAUGAUUAAAUGUUAUUUAAUAAGCAAGAUAUAAGUAAUAAAAAAAAAA
rnacentral:lncRNA from 1 species